GGGCCCGUAGCUUAGCCUGGUGGAGCGACGGUCUUAUAAACCGUAGGUCGUGGGUUCAAAUCCCACCGGGCCCA
rnacentral:tRNA from 2 species